UGUAUAAAAGCACGCGUCACACGCGCCUCUUCCUCUUCCGACUCGCUUUCUCAGAGGAUGGAGGUGCUUGCCGGAGUGAAUACUGGGUCACCACGUGGCUCCGCCGCCUCACUAGUGCAGAGGUCGGAUGAUGCCAAAUGAGACGUCCCAUCAUCAAAAUACUGCUCGAGAUGUCCCAAGUGAGCCUUCUCUAAGAGGUUCAGCAUCUGUAGUGGGGUUUUCACGGUUCCUGAGACUGCUCCAGGUUCUCCGACAGCGUGCUGAAUCAACGGGCAGACUUGCAGGUCUUCAGCAGCUCCUGACCAGCAAGUGGAAGUUGUAAAAUGAGUGACGCAAGUUCAACCUAAUAUGAAAGUGUGGAUUGGUCUUUCA